UGGGGAAUAUUGGACAAUGGAGGGAACUCUGAUCCAGCAAUUCUGUGUGUGUGAAGAAGGUUUUAGGACUGUAAAACACUUUUAGUAGGGAAGAAAAAAAUGACGGUACCUACAGAAGAAGCAACUGCUAAAUACGUGCCAGCAGCCGCGGUAAUACGUAUGUUGCGAGCGUUAUCCGGAAUUAUUGGGCUUAAAGGGCAUCUAGGCGGUAAGACAAGUUGAAGGUGAAAACCUGUGGCUCAACCAUAGGCUUGCCUACAAAACUGUUGAACUAGAGUACUGGAAAGGUGGGUGGAACUACACGAGUAGAGGUGAAAUUCGUAGAUAUGUGUAGGAAUGCCGAUGAUGAAGAUAACUCACUGGACAGAAACUGACGCUGAAGUGCGAAAGAUAGGGGAGCAAACAGG
rnacentral:rRNA from 1 species